GACGAACGCUGGCGGCGUGCUUAACACAUGCAAGUCGAACGGAAAGGCCCUGCUUGCAGGGUACUCGAGUGGCGAACGGGUGAGUAACACGUGGGUGAUCUGCCCUGCACUUCGGGAUAAGCCUGGGAAACUGGGCCGAAUACAGGAUAGGAGCCAUUUUUAGCGUGAUGGUUGGAAAGUUUUUUCGGUGUUGGAUGAGUUUGCGGCCUAUCAGCUUGUUGGUGGGGUAAUGGCUUACCAAGGCGGCGUCGUGUAGCCGGACUGCGAGGGUGGACGGCCACAUAGGGACUGAGAGACGGCCCAGACACCGACUGGAGGGAGCAGGGGGGAAGCUUGCACGAUCAGCGCAAGCCUGAUGCAGCGACUCCGCGGGUCGUAUGACGGCCUUCGGAUUGAAAACUCCUUUCGCAAGGGACGAAGCUUGUUGUGACGGUACCUAGAUAAGAAGCACCGGCUAACUACGUG
rnacentral:rRNA from 1 species